AAGUCGUAACAAGGUUUCCGUAGGUGAACCUGCGGAAGGAUCAUUAAGGUAGCUCCUUGCCUUUCCUUUCCUCGCGGAAAGGGGAGGCAACUGCCAUCCACCUUUUGUGCACUAGACCACCUGUUCACCUUUGGCAAAAUCGAUGGCUUUCUAUUGAUUGAUCGUCUUUUGCCAAAGGAUUCUAUCUUAUUAUAAACACCCUAGAAAUACCUUAGCCUGAAAAUUAUUAGAGGACGCGGUAUUCCACGUACCACCUCUGAAUUCGAAUAAAAAAACAACUUUUAACAACGGAUCUCUUGGCUCUU
rnacentral:misc_RNA from 1 species